AUAAGAUGUAAGCGCAGAUGUGAACUUAUUUCAAUGUAGUGUUUCAAAUGGGAUUUAUCAUCGUUUUGCUUUUCGCUGCUUGUUUAAGCAGCGUGAACGGAAACUACCAAUAUGUCCUGGCACCCAACGUGAUCCGACUUGAAAACGAGGAGACCCUGCUUGUUGGCAUUCUUGGGAAUGGAAGGAAUCAGCUCGUUACGGUAUACUUUGAAUAUAUGAACCAGGCGAUCUCCAGGAAAGAAAUAAUGAUAGCAGA